rnacentral:rRNA from 1 species
AAAAGGCGGCGUAAGCUGUCGCUAAAGGAUGGACCCGCGGUGCAUUAGCUAGUUGGUAAGGUAACGGCUUACCAAGGCGACGAUGCAUAGCCGAGUUGAGAGACUGAUCGGCCACAUUGGGACUGAGACACGGCCCAAACUCCUACGGGAGGCAGCAGUAGGGAAUCUUCCACAAUGGGCGAAAGCCUGAUGGAGCAACGCCGCGUGAGUGAAGAAGGUUUUCGGAUCGUAAAGCUCUGUUGUUGGUGAAGAAGGAUAGAGGUAGUAACUGGCCCCUAUUUGACGGUAAUCAACCAGAAAGUCACGGCUAACUACGUGCCAGCAGCCGCGGUAAUACGUAGGUGGCAAGCGUUGUCCGGAUUUAUUGGGCGUAAAGCGAGCGCAGGCGGGAAGAUAAGUCUGAUGUGAAAGCCCCCGGCUUAACCGAGGAAUUGCAUCGGAAACUGUGUUUCUUGAGUGCAGAAGAGGAGAGUGGAACUCCAUGUGUAGCGGUGGAAUGCGUAGAUAUAUGGAAGAACACCAGUGGCGAAGGCGGCUCUCUGGUCUGUAACUGACGCUGAGGCUCGAAAGCAUGGGUAGCGAACAGGAUUAGAUACCCUGGUAGUCCAUGCCGUAAACGAUGAGUGCUAAGUGUUGGGAGGUUUCCGCCUCUCA